rnacentral:misc_RNA from 1 species
UAUCGCGGCCACGCUGCUGAUAAAAAAGCGAAGAAGAAAUAAGGUAGGAGGAAGAGAUGGAAACUAUCGCUAAACAUCGCCAUGCUCGUUCUUCUGCUCAGAAGGUUCGCCUUGUUGCUGACCUGAUUCGCGGUAAGAAAGUGUCGCAGGCUCUGGAUAUUCUGACCUACACCAACAAGAAAGCGGCUGUACUGGUCAAGAAAGUUCUGGAAUCUGCCAUUGCUAACGCUGAACACAACGAUGGCGCUGACAUUGACGAUCUGAAAGUUACGAAAAUUUUCGUAGACGAAGGCCCGAGCAUGAAGCGCAUUAUGCCGCGUGCAAAAGGU